AUUGAACGCUGGCGGCAGGCCUAACACAUGCAAGUCGAACGAGUGGCGGACGGGUGAGUAAUGUCUGGGAAACUGCCUGAUGGCGGGGGAUAACUACUGGAAACGGUAGCUAAUACCGCAUACCAUCGGAUGUGCCCAGAUGGGAUUAGCUAGUAGGUGGUGUAACGGCUCACCUAGGCGACGAUCCCUAGCUGGUCUGAGAGGAUGACAAGCCAGACUGGAACGUAGACACGGUGCAGAAACCUACGUGAGGCAGCAGAGGGGAAUAUUGCACAAUGGGCGCAAGCCUGAUACAGCCAUGCCGCGUGUAUGAAGAAGGCCUUCGGGUUGUAAAGAAGUUUCAGCGGGGAGGCGUUACCCGCAGAAGAAGCACCGGCUAACUCCGUGCCAGCAGCCGGGGUAAUAC
rnacentral:rRNA from 1 species